GGUUGAAAUUCUUAUUCUCUGUUCUCUGUUCCCUGUUCCUUUUAUUGUGCGGAGCCCCUAAGUCUUUUAAAAUGCAGUAAUG